UUCUCUGUUGCUGUAAACUGUUGCAGGUGUUUUUCCUCAAUCAGUUUUACGUACAACGCAGUGACAUUUUUUGGCAGCUCUUUCUUCUAUCCUUAUAGUACAGGAAAAGUGUACCUUUUUUUUCUCUGUAAUCUCCUUCACCGAGGCAAUAUUUUUUCAAGAUGCUUCACUCAGUGUCACAAAACUUGACACUGACAUUGUAUAUAAAUAGUUCUCUGGUGGCAUCAAACAAUUAAAAAAAAGACAAGGACAUAUAGCUCUAAAAAAAUUCACGUUCCAAUUUUCUGACUCUAUGUUUAUAAGAAAAAGAAAUGGAUGUUCUAUCCCAACCUUACAUAAGAAGAGAAAAGAAAUUGGUCUUCUCUGUGAUUUAACUAAUCAUUGUUGAUUUCACAUGAAAUUUUGUAAUGCAUUUAUUUUCAACGGAAAAAUGAAAACGAUUCUUAUUUACUCAGACUACUUUUGUAUGCAGAAAAUAAAAUUAAUGUUUUAAAUAAAAAAUGAAAAUGUUUAUAA